AAGGAGGCAGCAGUGGGGAAUUUUCCACAAUGGGCGAAAGCCUGAUGGAGCAACGCCGCGUGCAGGAUGAAUGCCUUCGGGUUGUAAACUGCUUUUAUGUGUGAAGAAUCUGACGGUAACACAUGAAUAAGGGUCGGCUAACUACGUGCCAGCAGCCGCGGUCAUACGUAGGACCCAAGCGUUAUCCGGAAUUACUGGGCGUAAAGAGUUGCGUAGGUGGAUUGUUAAGUGGAGCGUGAAAGCGUGCGGCUCAACCGCAUUACUGCGUUCCAAACUGGCAAACUAGAGUGCGAGAGAGGUAGAUGGAAUUUCCAGUGUAGGAGUGAAAUCCGUAGAUAUUGGAAGGAACACCGAUGGCGUAGGCAGUCUACUGGCUCGUUACUGACACUAAGGCACGAAAGCGUGGGGAGCAAACGGGAUUAGAUACCCGAGUA
rnacentral:rRNA from 1 species